CCUACGGGAGGCAGCAGUGGGGAAUAUUGCACAAUGGGGGAAACCCUGAUGCAGCGACGCCGCGUGAGGGAAGAAGGAAUUCGGUAUGUAAAGCUCUAUUAGCAGGGAAGAAAAUGACGGUACCUGAGUAAGAAGCCCCGGCUAACUACGUGCCAGCAGCCGCGGUAAUACGUAGGGGGCAAGCGUUAGCCGGAUUGACUGGGUGUAAAGGGCGCGUAGACGGGAGUGCAAGUCAGGAGUGAAAGGCCGGGGCUCAACCCCCGGACUGCACUGGAAACUGUACGGCUGGAGUGCAGGAGAGGUAGGUGGAAUUCCUGGUGUAGCGGUGAAAUGCGUAGAUAUUAGGAGGAACACCAGUGGCGAAGGCGACUUACUGGACUGUAACUGACGUUGAGGCUCGAAAGCGUGGGGAGCAAACAGGAUUAGAUACCCCUGUAGUC
rnacentral:rRNA from 1 species